rnacentral:rRNA from 1 species
AGAGUUUGAUCCUGGCUCAGGACGAACGCUGGCGGCGUGCCUAAUACAUGCAAGUCGAACGCACUCUCGUUUAGAUUGAAGGAGCUUGCUCCUGAUUGAUAAACAUUUGAGUGAGUGGCGGACGGGUGAGUAACACGUGGGUAACCUGCCCUAAAGUGGGGGAUAACAUUUGGAAACAGAUGCUAAUACCGCAUAAAACCUAACACCGCAUGGUGUAGGGUUGAAAGAUGGUUUCGGCUAUCACUUUAGGAUGGACCCGCGGUGCAUUAGUUAGUUGGUGAGGUAAAGGCUCACCAAGACCGUGAUGCAUAGCCGACCUGAGAGGGUAAUCGGCCACACUGGGACUGAGACACGGCCCAGACUCCUACGGGAGGCAGCAGUAGGGAAUCUUCCACAAUGGACGAAAGUCUGAUGGAGCAACGCCGCGUGAGUGAAGAAGGUUUUCGGAUCGUAAAACUCUGUUGUUGGAGAAGAAUGUAUCUGAUAGUAACUGAUCAGGUAGUGACGGUAUCCAACCAGAAAGCCACGGCUAACUACGUGCCAGCAGCCGCGGUAAUACGUAGGUGGCAAGCGUUGUCCGGAUUUAUUGGGCGUAAAGCGAGCGCAGGCGGUUUCUUAAGUCUGAUGUGAAAGCCUUCGGCUCAACCGAAGAAGUGCAUCGGAAACUGGGAAACUUGAGUGCAGAAGAGGACAGUGGAACUCCAUGUGUAGCGGUGAAAUGCGUAGAUAUAUGGAAGAACACCAGUGGCGAAGGCGGCUGUCUGGUCUGUAACUGACGCUGAGGCUCGAAAGCAUGGGUAGCAAACAGGAUUAGAUACCCUGGUAGUCCAUGCCGUAAACGAUGAGUGCUAGGUGUUGGAGGGUUUCCGCCCUUCAGUGCCGCAGCUAACGCAUUAAGCACUCCGCCUGGGGAGUACGACCGCAAGGUUGAAACUCAAAGGAAUUGACGGGGGCCCGCACAAGCGGUGGAGCAUGUGGUUUAAUUCGAAGCAACGCGAAGAACCUUACCAGGUCUUGACAUCCUUUGACCACUCUAGAGAUAGAGCUUUCCCUUCGGGGACAAAGUGACAGGUGGUGCAUGGUUGUCGUCAGCUCGUGUCGUGAGAUGUUGGGUUAAGUCCCGCAACGAGCGCAACCCUUGUCUUUAGUUGCCAUCAUUAAGUUGGGCACUCUAGAGAGACUGCCAGGGAUAACCUGGAGGAAGGUGGGGAUGACGUCAAAUCAUCAUGCCCCUUAUGCCUAGGGCUACACACGUGCUACAAUGGGUGGUACAGAGGGCAGCCAAGCCGUGAGGUGGAGCAAAUCCCUUAAAGCCAUUCUCAGUUCGGAUUGUAGGCUGAAACUCGCCUACAUGAAGCUGGAGUUACUAGUAAUCGCAGAUCAGAAUGCUGCGGUGAAUGCGUUCCCGGGUCUUGUACACACCGCCCGUCA